AACGAACUUCCGUUAAUUGAUUAUGACGUACUUGUACUGAUUGAGAUUUUAACACGAAGUGAGUGGCGAACGGGUGAGUAACACGUGGGUAACCUGCCCAGAAGUAGGGGAUAACACCUGGAAACAGAUGCUAAUACCGUAUAACAGAGAAAACCGCAUGGUUUUCUUUUAAAAGAUGGCUCUGCUAUCACUUCUGGAUGGACCCGCGGCGUAUUAGCUAGUUGGUGAGGUAAAGGCUCACCAAGGCAGUGAUACGUAGCCGACCUGAGAGGGUAAUCGGCCACAUUGGGACUGAGACACGGCCCAGACUCCUACGGGAGGCAGCAGUAGGGAAUCUUCCACAAUGGACGCAAGUCUGAUGGAGCAACGCCGCGUGAGUGAAGAAGGGUUUCGGCUCGUAAAGCUCUGUUGUUAAAGAAGAACGUGGGUAAGAGUAACUGUUUACCCAGUGACGGUAUUUAACCAGAAAGCCACGGCUAACUACGUGCCAGCAGCCGCGGUAAUACGUAGGUGGCAAGCGUUAUCCGGAUUUAUUGGGCGUAAAGCGAGCGCAGGCGGUCUUUUAAGUCUAAUGUGAAAGCCUUCGGCUCAACCGAAGAAGUGCAUUGGAAACUGGGAGACUUGAGUGCAGAAGAGGACAGUGGAACUCCAUGUGUAGCGGUGAAAUGCGUAGAUAUAUGGAAGAACACCAGUGGCGAAGGCGGCUGUCUGGUCUGCAACUGACGCUGAGGCUCGAAAGCAUGGGUAGCGAACAGGAUUAGAUACCCUGGUAGUCCAUGCCGUAAACGAUGAUUACUAAGUGUUGGAGGGUUUCCGCCCUUCAGUGCUGCAGCUAACGCAUUAAGUAAUCCGCCUGGGGAGUACGACCGCAAGGUUGAAACUCAAAAGAAUUGACGGGGGCCCGCACAAGCGGUGGAGCAUGUGGUUUAAUUCGAAGCUACGCGAAGAACCUUACCAGGUCUUGACAUCUUCUGACAGUCUAAGAGAUUAGAGGUUCCCUUCGGGGACAGAAUGACAGGUGGUGCAUGGUUGUCGUCAGCUCGUGUCGUGAGAUGUUGGGUUAAGUCCCGCAACGAGCGCAACCCUUAUUACUAGUUGCCAGCAUUAAGUUGGGCACUCUAGUGAGACUGCCGGUGACAAACCGGAGGAAGGUGGGGACGACGUCAAAUCAUCAUGCCCCUUAUGACCUGGGCUACACACGUGCUACAAUGGAUGGUACAACGAGUCGCGAGACCGCGAGGUUAAGCUAAUCUCUUAAAACCAUUCUCAGUUCGGACUGUAGGCUGCAACUCGCCUACACGAAGUCGGAAUCGCUAGUAAUCGCGGAUCAGCAUGCCGCGGUGAAUACGUUCCCGGGCCUUGUACACACCGCCCGUCACACCAUGAGAGUUUGUAACACCCAAAGCCGGUGGGGU
rnacentral:rRNA from 1 species